rnacentral:rRNA from 1 species
GACGAACGCUGGCGGCGUGCUUAACACAUGCAAGUCGAACGGAAAGGCCCUGCUUUUGUGGGGUGCUCGAGUGGCGAACGGGUGAGUAACACGUGAGUAACCUGCCCUUGACUUUGGGAUAACUUCAGGAAACUGGGGCUAAUACCGGGUAGGAGCUCCUGCUGCAUGGUGGGGGUUGGAAAGUUUCGGCGGUUGGGGAUGGACUGGCGGGUUAUCAGCUUGUUUGUGUGGUAGUGGCUUACCAAGGGUGUGAGGGGUAGCCGGCCUGGGAGGUGUGCCGGCGACAAUACGACUGAGAUAGGGCGCAGAAUGCUACGUGAGGCAACAGGGGGGAGUAUGACGGAGUGAGGGGAAGCGUGAUGCAGCAGCGCCGCGUGCGGGAAGCCGGCCUUCGGGUGAUGAACCGCUUUCGCAUGUGCCGAAGCGGGAGUGACGGUAAUGGGUAAAGAAGCACCGGCUAACUACGUG